rnacentral:tRNA from 1 species
GUAGGCAUAGUAUAUUUUAUUACGAAAGUUUUUCAUACUUUAAAAGCAUUACUCUAUGCUGCUUAUU